ACCAAGCUACCUGCCUUCAUCGUCCCCAUCUCACCAACCUGCAUACCUCGACCUCCUCAACAGUACAGCGACAUCUGUCAUCGUCCCCAUCUCACAAACCUGCCUGCCUCAAACUGCACGUUAUACCUCAACCUGUAACAGAAAGGGGUGAGUGGUGAUGAAUGCUACUAUCUGUGGACCCACAUCCAUGCUGCCAUUCGAGUUGUGCUGAACGUUCAUCAGUGGCUGAUCCUGGGCUGCCAACUGGUGCCACAGAUCCUACUCCAGCAGCUACUACCUCAACCCCAACAUCACAAAGUCCUGAAGUCAGAGAAUCUCAAGAAACUGAGCACAGUGAAGCAGCACCAAGACUUGAUGACGGACAUCCAGCCAGGCAACUCAAGUACAGAAAAGAAAGUACAAAACUCAGUUCUUCAGAAAGAGUCUAUCAAUUACAGGAAAGAGUUCUAUCAGGAGAGCUAGAAAAACAGGAAAUGGAAAAAAAGAAAC